rnacentral:rRNA from 1 species
UUGAAGACUACAACGUUGAUAGGCGAGAUGUGGAAGUGCUGUGAGGCAUUGAGCUAACUCGUACUAAUUACCCGUGAGGCUUAACCAUACAACGCCAAAGUGGUUU